UUCAACACAAAUUGGUCAAAAGAGGACUUUUACCAAAUUAAGAUCAUUCAUUCAUUUUGGGAGAUGGAAUAUACAUUCCAUCAAUCCCCUAAAUCCAAUGAUCUUAACCUAGCAAAGUCAAAUCAACCUUGACCAAGGCCCAACAACACAAGUCAAAUUUACAAAGUCAAUUAAAAUGGCUCUACACAAUUAAUUUGGCAUUUAAAGAAUUAAAAAUAAUAAAAAUAUGCAUUAAAUUAAAU
rnacentral:lncRNA from 1 species